CUCAUUUGAGGGCCAGCUACUGAAGGGAGAGCACCGCUUGGGCUGCUUGCUGAGAAGGAAUGCUGUGUGGCUGGAGAGCUGCGUUACCAGUUGGAAAAACUUAAGGCAGCAGAGGAACCAGGAGUAACUGUCUCUUUUUGAAAUCAAGCAAAGACAAUGACGAUGAUUUGGAGAGACUUUUCUGUGUCAGUGGCAUCCUAUGGAGGUUUGAGGCUCAGAAUUCAGCUGCUAGUACUCUCCUAGUGAUCAUCUCAAGUCUUUUCCAAAUGGAAUGGUGAUGGAGAAUAAUAUGCUGCAGAAUUGCAGCAGAUUGUUGGAAAUAAAAUAGUGACAGGGUAGUAAAAUCCCACUAAAGUAAUUGGUGAGGGAUAACUUGUCGUGAACAAAUAAUGUUGUAGUAUACAGAUAUGAGCCUCGUCUUGUACAACAGGGAGAAAUAAAAAGAAGUACAGUACAGAAAGUAAAAAGGAUCAUUAACCAAAAGUCUUCACCAGCACUGCAAAGCAGAGGAAGAAGAAAAAGUCAGUCAAAAAGAAUGUAAUUACUGAGGAGAACAGGAACAUGCAGAUGAUCCUAACAUGUUCCUGAAAAGAUGUAAGCUGCUGGCCUGGGACCUAAAGGAGCUGAACUUAGUUUCUGACCUCUCAAAACUUCCAGUGUGACCUUGAGCAAAGCAUCAAGUCCCUCUUGUCUCAGCAUUUAAUGAUAAAUCGCUUAGUAGGAAGAGCUGUGAGCUGAUCAGUGGUGAUAGCUGGUCAGGAAUUCUUCAACUGAAUGUUAUCAAGAGGUUGCUGUGCCAUCAGAACCCAAACUUCCAAUGGGCAUGUACCUUUUUUUGGACAAGUAAGGCUUGUUGUCACGUCGGGAUUGUUGUGGACAAAUUGAGAGAGCUCAGCUCGAAUAGCCCUGAUACUUCUACAAACUGGUGAUGGUUGCGCUUCACUCUCACCCGAGGGUAUGAAUUUCUCCUGGAUGAGUCCUCUGACCUGUGACAUGUCUCUUGUCCAGUAAAUACAGAGUGAUGCUGAGUCGGGCCGUGAGCAUCUGAGCGUCCUCUGGCUGCAUUAUUGUAAUUCAAACAGGUGCCAGGACUCUCUGGGCUUGUAGAAUCUGCACGUGGAUGCUCUUGGUUUUCUUCCACCAAUUCCAAUUAACUAAGAAGUGAUCAGUGAAGCUGUUAAUUAGGAGCAGAUCAGUUGGGUAAAUUGGGCUGGUGACAGCUAAGGUAUCGGAGCUUGACUGUAGGCUUGUUCCCAUUGGGAGGGGAGAACUGUGUACUUGCCUUUUUGCCAUGCAGCUCUUUUUUUUUUCUUAUUCAUUUAUUUUCUCCUUUCCCUGUUUACUCAUCUGGAUUUCUCGCUGCACCGCUUCUCCUUUCCCUUCAAUAAAAUGCAGAAAAUAUAGGUUUGUGUUGUUUUUUUUUUUUUUUUUUUUUUUUUUUCCUGAUUGCUCUUUCCCAUGUGCUCAUGCGUUGAGGCAGGGCUUUGCUAUGAGCUAGAGCCAGCAGAAGCAGUAGCGAUCAGAUGAGUGGAAAGAGGCAGGGAAGGGAGUGGGCAUCAUUUUUGGCAACAGAACUGAUACAUCAUCUUAUCUUGUCCUGUGGAGCCAUACCCUGCCAAUCACCCAAUUAAAUGGUGAUUCUAGAAGGACAUGAGUGAAAGAUGGAGGAAAAACACUGGGAGCCAGAGAGGGGGGGGAAAAAAAAAAACCCUGUCCUGGAAGUGGUCCAGCUCUAUGCUGUAUAGACUUCAUGCUUUGUAACCCUGGCAUCACCUUCUUCAGUCUAUGAAUAAUGAAUUAUUUGCCGUUUUGACAGUGUGUCCCAGAUUUGGCUCACCUCAUGUUAGCUAACUAAAAGUCAAGCCUCCAGUGCCAACAUUCUUCUCUUGACUCCCUUUGGAGAUGGCAAAAAAAAAAAAAGGUAGCACACCUGGAAAAUGAUUUAUGCAGCAUGACUGGAAGUGCCAGCAAGUCCUGGACAGAUACAAGAGGAACCUCGGCCAUUAUCCUUGUCCAGGAAGAGAACUUCACUGAUAACUAUGCAUGCAACUUUGGUUCACUGGUCUGGGCUUUGUCUCAGGGACUAGACAUAUCACCACUACUCUUAACGCCUUCCCUUCUGCUCAUCUUCAUCCACAAGCCUUGAUAAAUGCUGAAGUGCUGCCUUCUGUCUGCUGCGAACACUGGGACGUCUGCCCAGGGCCCCUGAGUUGGGCUGAAGCUCAAGAAUCUUUCUUGGCCAGUGCAGGUAAUGCUCACGCCAGGGCCUUAGUAUAGUGAGGUUGACCACGCUUUGAGAAAGCCACAAAGGCGAAGCACAGUGUCUGGAGUCAUUUGGGGUUCUCCAAGGACUGUGGCAUCUUUGACACCUAUGUCACAAAUUCCAGCACAAAUUGGGUGCCACAAAAGAUGUAGGAGUUGAAACCCAUCCCUUGACUGGUCUCAGUAGUUAUGGAGUCCCUCCUGUGAUGGACUGUUUUAGGUAGCUGAAAGGUUGGGGUGCAUCUG